GAUGAAGAACGUAGUGAAAUGCGAUAAGUAAUGUGAAUUGCAGAAUCCAGUGAAUCAUCGAAUCUUUGAACGCACCUUGCGCCCUUUGGCCAUUCCGAAGGGCAUGCCUGUUUGAGUAUCAUGAACACCUCAACUCUUUAUGGUUUUCCAUGAUGAGCUUGGACUCUGGGGGUUUUGCUGGCUCACAGUCGGCUCCUCUAAAAUGAAUUAGCUUACCAGUGUUUGGUGGGUAUCAUGGGUGUGAUAACUAUCUACGCUUGUGGUUUUUCCACCAGGUAACCUUCAGCAGUGGAGGUUCGCUGGAGCUCAUAGAUGUCUCUCCUCGGUGAGGACAGCCCUUUGAACGUUUGAUCUCAAAUCAGGUAGGACUACCCGCUGAACUUAAGCAUAUCAAUAAGCGGAGGA
rnacentral:misc_RNA from 1 species